UACGUAGGGGGCUAGCGUUGUCCGGAAUCAUUGGGCGUAAAGCGCGUGUAGGCGGUUCGGUAAGUCUGCUGUGAAAGUCGGGGGCUCAACCCUCGAAUGCCGGUGGAUACUGUCGGACUAGAGUGCGGAAGAGGCGAGUGGAAUUCCUGGUGUAGCGGUGAAAUGCGCAGAUAUCAGGAGGAACACCUAUUGCGAAGGCAGCUCGCUGGGACGUUACUGACGCUGAGACGCGAAAGCGUGGGGAGCAAACAGG
rnacentral:rRNA from 1 species